GACUUGCUCGCGGUAGCUCUUUUCGUUGAGGCAAACCCCGCGGCCGUGCAGCAGGGCGUGCAGCGGCUUCUCCUCGUCCUGCCGGGGGAGGCAGCGCAGCCCCUGGGCGCAGCGCUCGGUGUAGACGCCGCACGACUGCCCCUCGGCCAGGGCGCAGGUCAUGCAGCAGCCGCAGCCCGGCUCCUUGACCAGCUCGCAGCCCAGGGGGCUGGGGGGGCACAUGGAGAGGGCUUUCUCGUCGCAGGGCUCGCAGUGCACGAAGGAGCCCAGGCUCUGGGCCGGCCCCGCAUAGGCGGCCAGCAGCAGGAGGACCGCGGUGAGCAACACCAUCUUCUCUUAGUCGCCCCCUUUACCUCGGGGUGGGGCAGGAGAGCGAGAGUGCAGGGAUAAAGGGGCCAAGAGGGCCCCCGGAGAUUUUUUUGUUUUUGUUUUUGUUUUAAAAUUUCUGGCAGGUAGAGCAGGUGCCCUCCCCCAGACACUUGCAAAAAUGUAGAGAGAGGUGGAGGGCUGGGGUGCCUGCGAGCAGGUCCCAGUUGCAAGAAUUAAAGCCUUGCAACAGGUUGGGGGAAGCAGGGCAGCGCCAGGUGCACGCAGUGAGCGGAGGCCGGAGAAACCCUCAAGCCUGAGCGGGUCAGAAUUAUAGGGGAAAAAAAGCCACAAAAUUGUUCACCCCCAAGCAACCACCGAAAUAAUGAGAUCGGAUGCAGUGGAGAUGGCGUUGGGGGUGGGAGAGAAAAAUGGAUUUAUCUUUAAAAUUUUUGCUUAAAAUCUAAAAUACACCCCGCUUUCUAACCCUCAGCUGCCAGCGGUGCGCGGCGCCGCAGAACAGGUAAGAGGCGUUGGCUGCAGCCGAGAGGGUGGGAGAAAAUGUUGAAAUCAAGAAAUUAAAAAACAAAAACAAAAACAAAAAAACCCCAAACCCUAACACCUCUUUUCUCCCACUUUGCCACCUCCUCUUCGAAAUUCGCAGGUUCUACGCGAAGUCCGGAGAAGGGUGAAAACGGAGGAGGGGUAAUGAAAAGGAGCAAAAAAGGGAAAAAGCCCACACUGCUUUGCAGCUCUUUCCUAGCUCUUUUCCCCUGCAGAAGUUUCCAAAGAGACUACGGG
rnacentral:lncRNA from 10 species